UCUGCGUAGGUGAACCUGCGGAGGGAUCAUUACUGAGUGAGGGCUUCGGGCCGGCCUCAAACCCUUUGUGAACCAAACUUGUUGCUUCGGGGGCGACCCUGCCGCUUCGGCGGUGCGGCGCCCCCGGAGGCCAUGAAACACUGCAUCAUUGCGUCGGAGUUAAAGUAAAUUAAACAAAACUUUCAACAACGGAUCUCUUGGUUCCAGCAUCGAUGAAGAACGCAGC
rnacentral:misc_RNA from 1 species